AAAAAGACAAAACUUGGUUUCCGUGUCCAAUGUUUGACCGUUUGUCUUAUUUGAAAAAAUUAUGAAAAAAAUUAAAAAGACAAGUCACGCAUAAAAUAUUAAUCAUGUUUUAUCAUCUAACAACAAUGAAAAUACGAAUUAUAAAAAAAUUUCAUAUAAGAUGGACAGUCAAAGUUGGACACGAAAACCCAGGGUUUGCCUUUUU
rnacentral:pre_miRNA from 1 species